rnacentral:rRNA from 1 species
GACGAACGCUGGCGGCGUGCUUAACACAUGCAAGUCGAACGGAAAGGCCCUGCUUUUGUGGGGUGCUCGAGUGGCGAACGGGUGAGUAACACGUGAGUAACCUGCCCUUGACUUUGGGAUAACUUCAGGAAACUGGGGCUAAUACCGGAUAGGAGCUCCUGCUGCAUGGUGGGGGUUGGAAAGUUUCGGCGGUUGGGGAUGGACUCGCGGCUUAUCAGCUUGUUGGGGGGGUAGUGGCUUACCAAGGUUUUGACGGGUAGCCGGCAUGAGAGGGUGACCGGCCACAUUGGGACUGAGAUACGGCCCAGACUCCUACGGUAGGCAGCAGUGGGGAAUAUUGCACAAUGGGCGGAAGCCUGAUGCAGCAACGCCGCGUGCGGGAUGACGGCCUUCGGGUUGUAAACCGCUUUCGCCUGUGACGAAGCGUGAGUGACGGUAAUGGGUAAAGAAGCACCGGCUAACUACGUG